AUUGAACGCUGGCGGCAUGCUUUACACAUGCAAGUCGAACGGUAACAGGCCGCAAGGUGCUGACGAGUGGCGAACGGGUGCGUAAUGCAUCGGAACGUGCCCAGUCGUGGGGGAUAACUACUCGAAAGAGUAGCUAAUACCGCAUACGAUCUAUGGAUGAAAGCGGGGGACCGUAAGGCCUCGCGCGAUUGGAGCGGCCGAUGUCAGAUUAGGUAGAUGGUGGGGUAAAGGCUCACCAAGCCAACGAUCUGUAGCUGGUCUGAGAGGACGACCAGCCACACUGGGACUGAGACACGGCCCAGACUCCUACGGGAGGCAGCAGUGGGGAAUUUUGGACAAUGGUCGCAAGCCUGAUCUAGCAAUGCCGCGUGCAGGAAGAAGGCCUUCGGGUUGUAAACUGCUUUUGUACGGAACGAAACGGCUCUGGUUAAUACCCGGGGCUAAUGACGGUACCGUAAGAAUAAGCACCGGCUAACUACGUG
rnacentral:rRNA from 1 species